ACUGAACAUGGAGAGGCAAAAGGAGCCGUGGUCAAGAAAAACAUUACUCAGUCCAAGGGCAGAUAGGCUGUGUUAACCCAUGCUUGGACUCUCCUCGAAGCGCCCUGAGAACGACUGUUGAGCUCAUGAAAUAUCAAAACUUCCCUGGGAGACUUAUUUUUUUCUGCAUACUUCAUCUACUGUCUAAGAAAAGAAUCUGCAGUUGGUAAAAUGUCAUCCUUACUACCUCCUGCUGUUUUCAGUAUAUAAAACACAUAGAUUGUGAAGAGUUCGGCUGUCUUUCUCUUUUUGUUCAACGUUAUUUUGUCUGAGAGAGUGAAUACUGCGGCUCGUUUCCUAUGAGAGUGAUAACUGAUCUGUAAUGGAUUCUAAAAAAGAAUAAGACUGGGAACAUUCACUCAUAAAAGCAACCUAAUAGGGGCUGGCAGAGACUUGUUGCUAUCUGAACUCCCAAUAUUGCGACACAUUCUAAGAUAUGGCCAACUGUUAAAAGAACAAAGUAGUGAUAAUGCUAGAAACUACCCAGCAACCAGUCUAGCAAGAGACAUAUAUCCAAAAGUACUUGAAAAGUGGGAAAGAGUGAACAGUUCUUUUAUGACUCCUGUUGUAAAUUUACGAGAGAUACUCUUGAAAAAGAUCCAAGAGAGCUGGGAUCAAGCCAAAAACAUCUCUUGGUAGACGAAAGCUAGAUGUCAAAGAGAUUUUCACUGUGAAACUUGACAAACUGUUUGACAUCCUCAACAGCAAGUGUCAAAUUGUCCUGUGUGCCAAAUUUGGCUGCCCUGCUGACUGCAAAAAAGAAGCCCACAUUAACUGUCCCUGUCCUAAGGAGACAAAGAUACUAUUGAAGGAACUUGCUUUCAUUAAGGGUCAGAGAAACAAGAUUGGUCUUUUGGAUUGCACCAGAUUGAUUUGCCAGAUGUGCCCAAGCAGAAAUGACUAGGCAAAAGGCAAAAGUGGCAAGGCAAUGAGAGACAAAGGCUCACUAAAUAUAAGUAUUCCAGACAUUUCAAUACUGACAAAUGAAGUAAUUAUCUCUUACAAUGAAAAUGAAGGACAGACAAUAGAUGAUGAAGAUGAAGAGGAAUGUGAUGGAAGUUACGAAGAGGCCUUAGACCAAACACAUGUGCCCUCUACUUCAAAAGAAAAUACAGAAUACAAUAGAUUAGAAAUAACAAAAGUCACUAUUCAGAGCAGAGCAUAAAAUACAGUGUUGGUCUAUGUGCCACAGCCACCUUCAUAGAUGUUGGUUUGAUUACCAAAGAAGACAAGAAACUUGUAAUUGAUCACAAUUACAAUGUCCUGAAAAAAUUAUGAAGUCACUAGAUCAAGAAUUUGAUAGACUCUGUAAGAAGGGCAAAAUAGAAUGCAUCAUCUUAGGCAGCCAUAUGGAUGCAAAUAAAGUUACGCUGAAAGCAAACACUUCAAACCAGGAAUUACCUAGUAUCAUCAAAGAACAUUAAUCUGUGUGCAGUGAGCCAGGUGGAAGAUAUCUUUAUCAUUUCACUCCAGAGAA